AAAGUGUUACAUGGUACUUCAUAAAAACAUAUACACACACAGAAAGACAGAGUGGGUUGUUUCAGGCAGGAAUGUCCAGGUUGUCCUCUCCUCUGGG